rnacentral:rRNA from 1 species
GACGAACGCUGGCGGCGUGCCUAAUACAUGCAAGUUGAGCGCUGAAGGUUGGUACUUGUACCGACUGGAUGAGCAGCGAACGGGUGAGUAACGCGUGGGGAAUCUGCCUUUGAGCGGGGGACAACAUUUGGAAACGAAUGCUAAUACCGCAUAAAAACUUUAAACACAAGUUUUAAGUUUGAAAGAUGCAAUUGCAUCACUCAAAGAUGAUCCCGCGUUGUAUUAGCUAGUUGGUGAGGUAAAGGCUCACCAAGGCGAUGAUACAUAGCCGACCUGAGAGGGUGAUCGGUCACAUUGGGACUGAGACACGGCCCAAACUCCUACGGGAGGCAGCAGUAGGGAAUCUUCGGCAAUGGACGAAAGUCUGACCGAGCAACGCCGCGUGAGUGAAGAAGGUUGUCGGAUCGUAAAACUCUGUUGGUAGAGAAGAACGUUGGUGAGAGUGGAAAGCUCAUCAAGUGACGGUAACUACCCAGAAAGGGACGGCUAACUACGUG